rnacentral:rRNA from 1 species
GACGAACGCUGGCGGCGUGCUUAACACAUGCAAGUCGAACGGAAAGGCCCUGCUUUUGUGGGGUGCUCGAGUGGCGAACGGGUGAGUAACACGUGAGUAACCUGCCCUUGACUUUGGGAUAACUUCAGGAAACUGGGGCUAAUACCGGAUAGGAGCUCCUGCUGCAUGGUGGGGGUUGGAAAGUUUCGGCGGUUGGGGAUGGACUCGCGGCUUUUCAGCUUGUUGGUGGGGUAGUGGCUUACCAAGGCUUUGACGGGUAGCCGGCCUGAGAGGGUGACCGGCCACAUUGGGACUGAGAUACGGCCCAGACUCCUACGGGAGGCAGCAGUGGGGAAUAUUGCCCAAUGGGCGGAAGCCUGAUGCAGCAACGCCGCGUGCUGGAUGACGGCCUUCGGGUUGUAAACCGCUUUCGCCUGUGACGAAGCGGGAGUGACGGUAAUGGGUAAAGAAGCACCGGCUAACUACGUG